AAUAAGUGCGGUUUUACACGGUUCAUAUCAAACGUUUGACCGUUUGUCUUAUUUAAAGUUAUUUUAUAAUUAGUAUUUGUAUUUUUAUUAGAUGAUAAAAUAUGAAUAGUACCUUAUGUGUGACUAAUUUUUUUAAAUUCUUCAUAAUUUUUUAAAUAAGACGGACGACCAAACGUUGAACACGGAUACCCACGGCUGCACUUAUU
rfam:Oryza meridionalis cultivar OR44 (W2112) chromosome 6, whole genome shotgun sequence.